rnacentral:rRNA from 1 species
GGAAUAUUGCACAAUGGGGGAAACCCUGAUGCAGCGACGCCGCGUGAGUGAGGAAGUAUUUCGGUAUGUAAAGCUCUAUCAGCAGGGAAGAAAAUGACGGUACCUGACUAAGAAGCCCCGGCUAAUUACGUGCCAGCAGCCGCGGUAAUACGUAGGGGGCGAGCGUUGUCCGGAAUGACUGGGCGUAAAGGGAGUGUAGGCGGCUCUUUAAGUUAUAUGUGAAAUCCCGCGGCUUAACCGUGGAAGUGCAUAUAAAACUGGGGAGCUGGAGUGCAGGAGAGGUGAGUGGAAUUCCUAGUGUAGCGGUGGAAUGCGUAGAUAUUAGGAAGAACACCGGUGGCGAAGGCGGCUCACUGGACUGUAACUGACGCUGAGGCUCGAAAGCGUGGGGAGCAAACAG